rnacentral:lncRNA from 1 species
CUUUUGUGAUCCAGGACUGUGCCAGGCACGGAUGGCGCUGAGGUUAAGAAGAUGCUACCCCUGGGUUCCAGGGGUCCCCAGACCACAGCAGUGCCCAUGGAGGGGCUAUUCGGGAGGCAGGGUAUUUACUUCCCAAGGUUGGUUUUAUAAUAGAAUGAAAAAGACAAAUUGAGAAAAGCCCUUCAGGAAACAUCUAAGCACGGCGCACAUUUGCCGUCAUUUCUGAAGAGGUGAGUGUCACAGUUAAACUGGCAUUCAAGAAAUACGACCUCGAGAGAGUGCACAAAACCGAUUCCAUGUAGCGGGGGAUCCUCUGCAGCCCAGGUGAGGAGGAACUUGCUGGGGUAACCCGAGGAAAGUGACGGUGCCCCAGGAUGACAGAACACAAGGGUAAGAGCAGUGGGGCAACAGAGAAGAAAGAGGCAAAAUACCUCACAUGCAUUCCUUGGUGACUGUAGGGACAGGAAAACAGGGUAGCCAGGUGGGUGAAGCAGAAGGAAAGAUGAACAACGGGACUUCUCUGACCUGUUGGAUCAGAGAAGCAAAAUGGCAAAGAAAAGGCAGGCACCACAACUCACAAACUCCUACUCAGCCUUAAGACCCACCUCUGAUGCCCUUUCUUCCAGGAAACCUUCCCUAUUUAGCUUCUGAGAGGAACUCCUUUCUAUUCCAAAUGCAGCUUGUUUAACACUCUGCCAAGCACUGGCAUUAUCUCACUCUGCACCAACCGCUUCAGACUCCGGCGGAAGUCUGAAGGCAGGAAGUCACUCACCUGCUUCUCCUCCACGGCAGCAACAGGCGCUCCGAGACAGCUACGCAGUGACAGAGAGGAACAGCUGAUGAAAAUCAACCUGAGUACCAAAAUGCUAGGUUCGGAGUCCUCUGCUCACGGGGACAGGAAGCUAUCCUGUGCAUAUCCAAUGGACACCCUGUGCAUGGCAGAGCAUGGUCUACAGAAGAGGUUGGUGUGUGGCAGGACUGGACAAAACUAUGCGUUGAAGGAAGAGACGCUGAGCCCGUCAGAUGAACGCGGUGAGCCCAGUCCCAGCACAGCACUCUGCUUCCUGUCGCUGACCCCUGAUGUCUGUCUCUCCAGGGCUGCAGAAUCAUCAGCGGGAGCCAGAGUUUCCAAGACUGAUGGGGAAACCAACGCUGGACAAUUCAAACAGGAAGCAACCACAGCCCAAGUCACUGCUCUGGCGGACUCACGAAGCUGUUCCUUUCUUCUGCAUGACAAAAGAGCCACAUUUGCUCAGGCCUGGGUGGCACCAGCCUGGACUCCACAGUCGGCUUUCUCCAGCCUCCUCCGUACCCAGAGUUUUGGCCCCAGGGUGGGGCACAGAGCUGGAGAAGUGGAGAAGCUCUGUACCCCAAGACUGAGGGUGCGAGCAAUGCGGGGUCUCCUGCCACACUGUGAUGCUGUUGCUUCCACCCCCAUCGGAGGUCAUGUUAAGUAUUUCUUCCCAUGUUCCUUCGCUCUCUCUGCCCGCUAGGAGCCUGGCUCCAUGGGUGACAGCACAGUUUACAUCUUCUCCAUCACCCUUUGGACAGUGACUGGGACAUGGCUAGAACUCACUCCAUGUUUGUGGACAAAACCAAUAAACAAACGGUCUGCUUGAGAUUUUCUCUGGAGCAACACCUUAGAAUCUGCACAGAAGAACCUUCCAUGUCUGUCCUGGAAAGCAGUGGGAGAUACAAAAGACCUGGGACAGGCGCAGAUGGCCAAUCCUUCUCUGUCCCCCUCUGCCACACCUCGCCCCUGGCUCUGAAGCGCCGGAGCCUGGAGCUCCCAGAAGUCCCAGGGGCUCCCCUCUUCCCAGGGUCCUGCUGUCUGCCCAGUGCAGAGAUCCCUUGACAGGAAACCCCUUCUCUCCCUCCAUGCAGACUUUAUGUCUUUAUCAUUAAGGAUGAGAGACGAUAAAUUCAUUGGCAGAAACAUUUACGCGGUAAGAGCAGAGGACCCCAGAUACACAGAUAAUGUGAGGCCCUCGACUAAGCUAAAGCUACAAUUAUUAAAAGGUGGACCACAGUGUGAGUGACAGGAGCAGAAAGGAUUAUAGGAUUACAGAAAAUGGGCUUUCUAUAGAAAUGCACCCAGAGUGUCUCAUUUAUCACACAGAAACAUAGUUUGCUCACAGUAAAUAAAAUAGUGCAAAAUCAGGUCUGCAGGACACACUCAGAACUCAUCCUGCUGAGUCAGCUCAGCAAAUGGAGCCAAAAGAUGAGGAUUCAAGUCCUGAUCACAACAGAUCAGCAUCCACGCCAACACAUGGCUGCAGGUCUCCACCUUCUACUUCCCUCCCUUGCUGCAAGGGUCACGUGAAAUACUGCACUGAAAUCGCUUGGCAGACUCAGCAGGGGCUGGGGAUUUAGCUCAGCGGCAAAAGUGCCUGCCUGGCAAGUGCAAGGUCGUGAGUUCAGUUCCCGG